AUUUCUAGAGAUAGAAAGUUACUUCGAUACAUCGGUGACAGGUGGUGCAUGGUUGUCGUCAGCUCGUGUCGUGAGAUGUUGGGUUAAGUCCCGCAACGAGCGCAACCCCUAUUGUUAGUUGCCAUCAUUCAGUUGGGCACUCUAGCGAGACUGCCGGUAAUAAACCGGAGGAAGGUGGGGAUGACGUCAAAUCAUCAUGCCCCUUAUGACCUGGGCUACGCACGUGCUACAAUGGUUGGUACAACGAGUUGCGAGUCGGUGACGGCGAGCUAAUCUCUUAAAGCCAAUCUCAGUUCGGAUUGUAGGCUGCAACUCGCCUACAUGAAGUCGGAAUCGCUAGUAAUCGCGGAUCAGCACGCCGCGGUGAAUACGUUCCCGGGCCUU
rnacentral:rRNA from 1 species